rnacentral:rRNA from 1 species
GACGAACGCUGGCGGCGUGCCUAAUACAUGCAAGUAGAACGCUGAAGGAGGAGCUUGCUUCUCUGGAUGAGUUGCGAACGGGUGAGUAACGCGUAGGUAACCUGCCUUGUAGCGGGGGAUAACUAUUGGAAACGAUAGCUAAUACCGCAUAAUAGUAGAUGUCGCAUGACAUUUGCUUAAAAGGUGCAAUUGCAUCACUACCAGAUGGACCUGCGUUGUAUUAGCUAGUUGGUGAGGUAACGGCUCACCAAGGCAACGAUACAUAGCCGACCUGAGAGGGUGAUCGGCCACACUGGGAAUGGGACACGGCCCAGACUCCUACGGGGAGGAGCAGUAGGGAAUCUUCGGCAAUGGGCGGAAGUCUGACCGAGCAACGCCGCGGGAGUGAAGAAGGUUUUCGGAUCGUAAAGCUCUGUUGUAAGGGAAGAACGAGUGUGAGGGUGGAAAGUUCACACUGUGACGGUAUCUUACCAGAAAGGGACGGCUAACUACGUG